rnacentral:rRNA from 1 species
CACGCUGUAAACUAUGAUAACUCGUUGUCGGCGAUAGAAUGUCGGUGACCAAGCGAAAGCGAUAAGUUAUCCACCUGGGGAGUACGAUCGCAAGGUUGAAACUCAAAGGAAUUGACGGGGGCCCGCACAAGCGGAGGAGCAUGUGGUUUAAUUCGAUGAUACGCGAGGAACCUUACCUAGACUUGAACGUAACAGUAAUAAUGUAGAAAUAUAUUAGCUAGCAAUAGACUGUUACGAGGUGC